AUGAGGAACACUUCCUUGUGUCUCCUUCUCCUCAUCUGCGUGGCCGCGUGGCACGCAGAUGCGUCGCAGGAGGCUCGGCUCAGAGAGUUGAUCCUGUCCAAGAGGACUAGCACCCAUAGCAGUAGCCACAGCGUAGAUGAGCCAAUGAUAGGAGCUACUGCCACCAGUAGCCUCCGAGCCGAGCACUCCGUCUCUGACCAGAGCGAUCAGAAGGAUGCCGACAGGAUCGCCGCGCUGCCGGGGCAGCCGCCCAAGGGCGUCGGCUUCAGCCAGUACUCAGGCUACGUGACCGUCGACGAGAAGAACGGCCGCGCGCUCUUCUACUACCUUGUCGAGGCGGCCACCAACGCGGCGACGAGGCCUCUCGUCCUGUGGCUUAACGGAGGUCCAGGAUGCUCAUCCUUCGGCUACGGAGCAAUGGGGGAGCUGGGCCCGUUCCGCGUCAACAGCGACAACAGAACCCUCAGCACAAACGAGCAUGCCUGGAACAACGUGGCCAACGUGCUCUUCCUCGAAUCGCCUGCCGGUGUCGGGUUUUCCUACUCCAACACGACCUCCGACUACGACAAGAGCGGAGACCAGAGGACAUCGGAGGACGCGUUCCUCUUCCUCGUCAGCUGGUUCGAGAGGUUCCCGGAGUACAAGGGCCGCUCCUUCUACAUCUCCGGAGAGAGCUACGCCGGCCACUACGUGCCGCAGCUCGCCGCCACCAUCUUGAGCCACAACACUUCCAUAAACCUACAGGGUAUUUUGGUUGGCAACCCAUACCUUGAUGAUAACAUGAACACGAAAGGGGUUAUCGACUUCUUGUGGAGCCACGCCGUGAUAUCAGACGAGGUGUACGCCAACAUCACCAAGAACUGCAAUUUCAAUCUGUCGGAUGGUAACGCAUGCUCUGACGCCAUGGCCGCGUAUGAUACUGCCAACACUCUCCUCUUCGACAUUUACGGACCUGUUUGUAUCGACGCACCCGACGGAAAAUACUACCCCAGCCGCUAUGUGCCGGGGUAUGAUCCAUGCACCGGCUACUACAUAGAUGCUUACCUCAACGAUCCUGAGGUGCAAAAGGCUCUACAUGUUAGAACGACCAAGUGGGCAGGCUGCACGGACUUGCACUGGAAAGAUUCAUCGGCGUCCAUUGUGCCAACGCUCAAAUGGCUCAUGGGCCACGGGCUGCGUGUGUGGUUGUUCAGCGGCGAUUUCGACUCCGUGUGCCCAUUUACCGCCACAAGGUACUCCAUCCAUGACCUUGGCGUCGCCAUCACGGAGCCGUGGCGCCCAUGGACCGCGAACAAAGAGGUUGGAGGGUAUGUUCAAGCAUACACGGGCGGUUUGGUUUUUGCAUCUGUGAGGGGCGCUGGUCAUCAGGUCCCUUACUUCCAGCCUGAGAAAGCUCUGAUAUUGUUCAGCUCGUUCCUGAAAGGAACACUUCCACUCUAUGAAAAGGGGCAGUAG
rnacentral:rRNA from 1 species